GGAAGUAAAAGUCGUAACAAGGUUUUCUUAGGUGAACGCGGAAGGAUCAUUA
rnacentral:rRNA from 1 species